rnacentral:rRNA from 1 species
UACGGAGGGUGCGAGCGUUAAUCGGAAUAACUGGGCGUAAAGGGUACGUAGGCGGUUAGAAAAGUUAGAAGUGAAAGGCUAUAGCUCAACUAUAGUAAGCUUUUAAAACUGUUUAACUUGAGAGAUGGAAGGGAAAGUGGAAUUCCUAGUGUAGCGGUGAAAUGCGCAGAUAUUAGGAGGAAUACCGGUGGCGAAGGCGACUUUCUGGCCAUUAUCUGACGCUGAGGUACGAAAGCGUGGGUAGCAAACAGG